rnacentral:rRNA from 1 species
GACGAACGCUGGCGGCGUGCUUAACACAUGCAAGUCGAACGGAAAGGCCCUGCUUUUGUGGGGUGCUCGAGUGGCGAACGGGUGAGUAACACGUGAGUAACCUGCCCUUGACUUUGGGAUAACUUCAGGAAACUGGGGCUAAUACCGGAUAGGAGCUCCUGCUGCAUGGUGGGGGUUGGAAAGUUUCGGCGGUUGGGGAUGGACUCGCGGCUUAUCAGCUUGUUGGUGGGGUAGUGGCUUACCAAGGCUUUGACGGGUAGCCGGCCUGAGAGGGUGACCGGCCACAUUGGGACUGAGAUACGGCCCAGACUCCUACGGGAGGUAGCAGUGGGGAAUAUUGCACAAUGGGCGGAAGCCUGAUGCAGCAACGCCGCGUGCGGGAUGACGGCCUUCGGGUUGUAAACCGCUUUCGCCUGUGACGAAGCGUGAGUGACGGUAAUGGGUAAAGAAGCACCGGCUAACUACGU